CUUGGUCAUUUAGAGGAAGUAAAAGUCGUAACAAGGCCUCCGUAGGUGAACCUGCGGAGGGAUCAUUACAAGAACGCCCGGGCUUCGGCCUGGUUAUUCAUAACCCUUUGUUGUCCGACUCUGUUGCCUCCGGGGCGACCCUGCCUUCGGGCGGGGGCUCCGGGUGGACACUUCAAACUCUUGCGUAACUUUGCAGUCUGAGUAAACUUAAUUAAUAAAUUAAAACUUUUAACAACGGAUCUCUUGGUUCUGGCAUCGAUGAAGAACGCAGCGAAAUGCGAUAAGUAAUGUGAAUUGCAGAAUUCAGUGAAUCAUCGAAUCUUUGAACGCACAUUGCGCCCCCUGGUAUUCCGGGGGGCAUACCUGUUCGAGCGUCAUUUCACCACUCAAGCCUCGCUUGGUAUUGGGCAACGCGGUCCGCCGCGUGCCUCAAAUCGUCCGGCUGGGUCUUCUGUCCCCUAAGCGUUGUGGAAACUAUUCGCUAAAGGGUGUUCGGGAGGCUACGCCGUGAAACAACCCCAUUUCUAAGGUUGACCUCGGAUCAGGUAGGGAUACCCGCUGAACUUAAGCAUAUCAAUAAGCGGAGGA
rnacentral:rRNA from 1 species